UUCAAAUGAACGGAUUUUUUU
rnacentral:piRNA from 1 species